rnacentral:rRNA from 1 species
UAGGGAAUCUUCCACAAUGGACGCAAGUCUGAUGGAGCAACGCCGCGUGAGUGAAGAAGGUUUUCGGACCGUAAAGCUCUGUUGUUGGUGAAGAAGGAUAGAGGUAGUAACUGGCCUUUAUUUGACGGUAAUCAACCAGAAAGUCACGGCUAACUACGUGCCAGCAGCCGCGGUAAUACGUAGGUGGCAAGCGUUGUCCGGAUUUAUUGGGCGUAAAGCGAGCGCAGGCGGAAGAAUAAGUCUGAUGUGAAAGCCCUCGGCUUAACCGAGGAAUUGCAUCGGAAACUGUUUUCUUGAGUGCAGAAGAGGAGAGUAGAACUCCAUGUGUAGCGGUGGAAUGCGUAGAUAUAUGGAAGAAUACCAGUGGCGAAGGCGGCUCUCUGGUCUGCAACUGACGCUGAGGCUCGAAAAGCAUGGGUAGCGAACAGGAUUAGAUACCCUGGUAGUCCAUGCCGUAAACGAUGAGUGCUAAGUGUUGGGAGGCUUCCGCCUCUCAGUGCUGCAGCUAACGCAUUAAGCACUCCGCCUGGGGAGUACGACCGCAAGGUUGAAAC